GUCAGGAUGACCGAGUGGUCUAAGGCGCCAGACUCAAGUUCUGGUCUCCAUAUGGAGGCGUGGGUUCAAAUCCCACUUCUGACA
rnacentral:tRNA from 1 species